UCUGUCGCCCCGUUUUUUUGACAUAGGAAGUAGCUUAUUGGCUGAGUUCGGACGCUUAAGAAUGCCCUAAGAACUUUUCUUAAUAAGAUCUGAGGAUUCAUUUUGGGACCAGUUCUUUGAACCAGAGUAAAAAGUGUAUUUGUCUGCAGUUAUUGCUUACUCUCAAGUCCUUCUUUUGAAAACAUCCAUCCCCACCACCAAUCUACCAGUUCAAAGAUAUUCUUCAAGGUUAAAAAAAAAGGUUUAUGCAGCGUUCAAGAAGUAUGAUAGAAACUAUAUUCCAACAAAGUACAUUUGUCUUAGCAUGUAAUUUACCCCUGCAUCCAUAACAUUGUUCUAUAGUAAAUAUUUGGUAAAUAAAGUGAUUUAAUCCUACUCAAGAUUUCCAGCCUUCUCUCCUGUAUAAAAAUUGUGCUUGUCCAGUUCUAAAGAAAGUUACUGCACCCCUACGACAAUCUCCUCAGGCAAAAUUAAUGUUUUCUUUCUGCCUUUGCCUCUGCUAAUGUUGUGCCAAAACAUGUCCAACAUUAUCUGACAGUCAUUUUCCACAAACUUGCCAAACACCUCUCAUAACUUAGCUUUUUCCUCAGUAACUACCACAUCAUUCCUGUACAGCUGCAAUAUCUCAACCAAAUGUAGAAUGUCACUAGCAAGAAAUUGCCUCCUUUGUGACUUAUGCAGCAUCCCUAGAGUUUCCCCCACAACAAGCACCAGCUAGAUUGUGGUCACUACUCUUGACAACCACUUAAACAAGAAGAUCCAUUCAUAUUUCAUAUGUCUAGACUCCCCUCAGUACAAGUGAAGUUUUUCAUAGUUGGUUACUUUCCCCACACAGGUGUUUUUUUUCCCCACUGAAGCAUCUGCUUGGUAUCUCCCUGUUUAACGUUGCUGCAUACUAUAUUCGAGCCUUCCAGAUCUUGCAAGAAAAUUCCUGACUACUGAAAGUAACUACUUCUAUAUGCCAAGAACAUGCAGCCAUUAGUACGUACAGAGUAGUAGCAUAAGCACCCAGAGAUUGAUCUUUGGUCCAUUGUGUUCCCAUACUAAAUAUACAUAGGACCUCACAGUGUUAAAGUUGCCCUGUGACUAACAGAAUAGUCCAGUAACAAUUCAUUGCCUGAAUUAUGAUCAGAGAGGUAAUUCCUCCCUUAUCAUUUAACAUGUUAACUCUGAACUUUCAGAGUAUGAGUCGGUAUGCUAAAUUCUAAGAAAUCUCAAAAAUGUGAGUACUUUUGGUUCAUAGCCUGGAGCAACAGUAGAGGUUUUCUCUGUGAAACUCACAGUCAGAUUGUGGUGAACCUCUUUGUCUACCAGAGAAAACUUUUAACUGUACAGUUCCCAGACAGAAAUUAAUGUCCCCAUUUACAGCAUGAGUCACAAGGAGUGUCAUUAGGGAAGGACAGAGAAAAGCGUUGUAUUGAGAAGAGUGGUGUGAAAGCUAAUUCUCUAUGUGGAGAAGACUGACUUUAUGUAAGUGAUACUUUACCACCUCUCACACAAACUUUGGCUGCUUUCCUGUCAGUUAAGUAACAUGCCAUAUUCCAAAAUGCGGCUUCCACUGCCAGAGUAUAGGCUAUUCAAAUCCCACUUGCUCAUGGCUGACACCUAGCUGGGCAGCUUACCAUUCCCCACUGUUUAUUCUGUAGGUAGUAAGUUGAUAUGGUGGCUCCAAACUUCUGCUUUUGUUUUUGCCUGGCCACAUCACAUGGGUGUCCGAGCCAUCAGUUAUGCACAGAAGAUCGCCAAACCUAGGUCAGAUUUCAGAAGUGCAUCAUUGUUUCCCUGCUCUGAACAAGAUUUUCAUUCUAGCUAGAACUUUAAUGGGAUUUAAGUUUGCUUUGUUUUUGCUACCUAGACUUGUGUAUUAAGGAUAGCUGUACCUAGAAUACAGUACAGUUAACAAAAUUUUUUUAAAUGAAUGUUUAAAGCUUAUCUUUCAUGAACAUUAGUCAUUUUUGUAACAUUUCUUCCACAUUAUGUUACUUUUCAGUACUCAUUUUCAUUGAAACUUGCUUUCAUGUGUGAAAGGUGUUUUUUCGUUGUAUUUUGAAUUUGAGGCUGAGAAGUGAAUCUGUGCAUUUCUCUAUGGAUUAAGUGGAAAUAUGUGCUAUGCUGACUUUUUUAACUAGCCCUUCGAUGUUUAGAAUCUCUUUUAUUUACUUUGGCCAAUAAUGUAGCAUUAUUGUUACCAUCCAUUCACCCUUUCAGUUCAAACAUUACUUCACCAAUAGGUGAAGCAGUCAGAAAUAUGAAAGUGUGUGGUAUAAUGUCACUUACAGAUCUGGAAUAUAGAGUGCCCUGCUUAAGGCACUUUUUACAGUUCUCCUGUUUUCAGAAGAGGCAAUAACAGAUAAGUGGGGAACUGUAUCCCCCAAGCCAACAAACCCUCCCCUCUUUCUGGCUCUUGAUUUCUUUUCCUUAGACCUCUUUCCAAACACAAAAAGUAUUCAAAGAGGGACUGUUUGUAUUGCUUUUGCUGUUUAUAACUUGUGGAAAAUAAAAACUGCAUCAAGAUACUAUUUUUAUUUCAGGUUGCUUGUAUUACAAGCUCAGUCUUGUAAACCUUGUUGGGCUACCAUGGUGCAGGGUACUACUUUUCCAACACAGGAUGUAAGUUUCAGAUCACUUAGAACAUUCCUGGAGUCGCACAGAGAAUUGUUGUGUCCUCCACCCUUUAGUACUAACCUGACCCUGCCCAGGUGCAUACAGUUCUUUUAAAUACCGAGGCACAAACCUGCUCAUCUGGGAUAUGGCUCUUUCUGGGAACCUUCUCUAUUACUUUUAAUUUGUGCUGACAGAAAGUGAAAAAUUUCUGGUCCAUUUGGCAGAAGAUCAACUGCCUUUAAAUUACCAACUGCAGCUUCUAGGGUGACAUUUUGGCUUGGUUAAGAGGCUUGUGCUGCUGGCUGAUGAGUGCAUGAACACUUUUAAUUUGUGAUAGUAAGUUUAGUUCAUUGUACUUUAUUGUCCAGCCAUGCCUGAACUUUCAUUCAAUAAGCUCAGAUUAAACCUAUAACACUGAAAUAGCAUCCUGUGUGCUUGCUGCAUUCACUACUGGUGAUCAGUGGCCCUACUACAUAUCCACUUGCCCCUCCUUUAUAAGCCCAUAAGAAUCUCAGUGGGUUCAUGUGAAAGUGGUACCAUGAUUGGAAUAAUUCCAUAGUUUGCUGCCACCUUCAUAAUAUCUGUGUUUUUUUAACUAAACGGGCAGAAUUCAUUCAUGUUACCACUCUUUUGUGUUUUGACCUAGGUACCACCCAAAUGGUCAUAUGAAUUUGGUGGAACCACCAUCAUCACGUGAGGGUAAACUCCAGCUGGGUCCACGUGCCCAUAUGUUUAUGUUUCUCAUAUUAAUAAGUCACGCUUAAAACACAGAGUAAACAGCCAGUACAUUGUCCUUGCCUUCAGGAAUCAGUUGCUCUGUUUUGUCACCCUAACAGCUAAUAUUUCUUACUGGUUUAGAUACCUUUUUAUAUUCACAAUUUUAUUUAUCGUUUUUUCCUAGACCGGUGCCAUCUUGAGAGGGAGUAAAAAAACUACCAACUUUGACACAGGCAAAACAGUGUUCACAUUCUUUUAGAAAUAUCCAGUCACUAUAAAACAUGCCAACUCUAUUAAGCAGAACACUAAAAAACUGCAUAGGAGCAUAGGUACAUCAUGUUUCUGACUAACCCUUUCUGCUAACUUUUCAAGUCAUCUUGCUGCCACUUCAGAGGUGCUAGUAGCUCUUGCACAAGAACAUUAUACCAUAUCUCAGAUAGGCAAUAAAUAAAGUUUUUCAGCAAGUCUGACUCCAGCUUAAGAUAGUAACUUUUCUUUCCUUCAGCUAUAUCCUCUAGCAGGACAGUACAUCUUAAGCUUAAUGCACUUUUGAGGCAGACAGGCAGAGUGAAAGAGCACCAUGAAUGCACCAUUUCUUAGGUAUGAGGCCCCUGCAUUUUUUCACAUCAGUAUAAUACAAAAAUAAAAGUAAGAAAAACACCAACAGAUUCUACCAGCUUUGCUGUUUGCAAAAGUCGGGUACCCUUCAGCCAUCAUCUCAUUACGAUUUUUUAGUGUAAUUUUAGUGUUUGUAGUGUUUUUCCUCCCAGAUCCUCAAAGAUGAGUGUGUCAGGUGUAUUAAUAAUACUAAGUUGGCCCACUGUGAAUGUGAGUGUUUGUCCUGAAAUACACUGACAUUUUUUCUAGUGCUUGUUCCCCCUCUUGCAUCCAGUAGUGUUGAAAUAGGCUCCAGUACUGAGAAGUUGGAUUAAUUGAAUUUGACAAUGUUAUGUAAAACUUAAGGAAGGGAAGAAUAAAUAAAGGGAAGAAAUUAAGUUUAAAAGAACAAAUAAGCAAAUAAACUCCAGCCUCUACAAGCAAGAAAUCCUGGGACACAUAAUUGCCUUCUCUAAUAUAAAAAAAAAUACUCUCUUGUUACCUCAAAUCUUUCUUUCAUUAUCCAGGUAUCUUGCCAGUAAGUCUGUUCCUCAACCUCUUUUUUAAACUCUUCUGUCUGGUCUGAUGUGACUUUAAAUAUUAUUUGACUCUCACUUCCAAACCUAGCACUGUAAAGACUAGAGGCGCUCCCACUAGUGAACAUAUAGUAUAUCCCUAUGUGCCAUGUGCCCCUUUAAGAUUCCCUGUCUUAAACACAAAUCUACUCCGCUCAGUCAGUGACAGUGUUCUUACACAUAACUGGUCACAGAGGGCCACCUUCCUUACUUUCAAAAUGACAACAUGGUCCCUCUUUCCUAGUUAGAGAUCUUGGGCCUCAUGUAUAACACAGUGCAAAGAAUUCACACAAAAAUAUGGUGUAUGGACAAAACUGGAAAUGUGCGUACGCACAAAAAAAAUCUAGAUGCAUAAAACUGUACAGCAAGUUCCACGCUCUUCACCUUUAUAAAUCCCAAUGAACGUGAAAUUUAACGUACGUACAUGUGCAUACAGCCCCACCCUAACUCUUCCCAGAUUUUCACAAAUUUGAAUAUGUAAAUUACAACGUAAUAUAAUUAUUACCUUUAGUUCUUUGUUUUGUUAAAAGACAAUGGUAAAGCACUUAUAAAAAAAGAAGAAUUCCACUGAAUGCGAAGUGGAGGUCCUACUCAGUGAAGUGGAGGCAAGAAAAAACAUACUUUUUGGUGGCUUAGGCAGUGGUAUGAGCAACAAAAGGAAACUGAUUUAGUGAUACUCAAAAGUUGAAGUUCAGAAAGUCACACAGUGCCAAAAUAAAAAAAAAGUGGCCAGAUGUCAAAGUCGAGGUGAAAUGAUGAGUUGUAGCCCACUGUCUGAGUGUCAUACGGAAGCGAAGAAAAGAAAAAAAAUAGGGACACAGUGAAGAAAAAAAGGUCAAAAUGUAGACUUUAAUCUCAAAAUUUCCAUUUUAAUCUCGUAGUUUAUUUUGUCAUUAAAGUAGAAAAUCGUAAACUUCAUCUUAAAAUCAAUGUUUAAUUUACAAGAGUUUUUCAAAUCCCACCGUAACUAAAGUAGCAAAUUAAAUGCUUUGUAUUUUAUGUGUUCUACGUGUGUGAAUCACUACAUGCUUCUUAAAUGGGCUUAAUCUUUCAUAGACAGAAACGCUCAGGCUGUGAUCACCACACAGUAUACAUUACAUUCAUGAUAUUACAGCUCUCUGAAUAUUUUGGAAUACUAAGAUGUAUAUUUGAUAUAAUUUUCAUGAUGAGAUGCGUGGGGGUACUGUGGCACAAUGGUAGCAUCCAGGGAUUGUUCUUGCCUCCCACAUCUAGGAAUUGUUUCAGCCUCCUGCAAGAUGCUUGCUGGGAUGCGCGCAACCCUGAAUGGAAUAAUUUACUGCAGCAGUACUGUCUCUGUCAAGUGUACCAACCCCAAAUUCCUGUCCUUCCAUUUUCUGUUUUCUUUCUCCAUGUAGCCAAUCACCACACAGUGAGCUCUGUAAUAAAUGUAAAACCUGCUGUAAGCUUUGAACGCAUAUUCUUCAAAACUUUUAUGGAACAUUGAAAAAUCUUCAUUAUACAUGUUUAAUUAUAUGUGUGCUUAUAGCUCUUGGGAUGAAACUGUUUUUGAGCCUUGAAGUACAUGCAGGAAAGUCUGUGAAGUGUUUGCUGGGUGGGAGAAGUUCAAAUGGACUGUGGCAUGACUGAGUGGAAUCCAUGCAGAUGCUGGUGGCUUUCCGUAGGAAGCGUGUGCUAUAAAAGUCCUCCAGGGCUGGAAGCUGUAUUCUGAUUAUCCUCUGCACUCUCUACACAACACGCUGUAGUGCUCAGAUGCAAUGGGUUAAAAUACUCUUGAGAGUCACACACGUGCACUUAGGAGGCAGCCAACAAGCCCUAAGGUGAGUGAUACUAAAAGGGAUAAAGGGUUGAUUGAACGUACUAAUGCCUCUUUCUCUUCAUCAACAGAACAUUAGAAGAUAAACAAUAACUAACCUUCCAUAUUUCCGGUCACUCAAAAUGGCUUCCACUCAAUAAUCCCGGCUCCGUAAUCCAGCGAUGAUGUCACCUCUGGUUCUCCCAAGAUAAUGUCACUUUUGGCUCCUCUUUAUGACGUCACUUCCUGGGUCCCUCCAUGAUGACACCACUUCCGGCUCGCCGAGAUGACGUCACUUCCAGCGCGAUCAUAAUAAUGUCACGUCCUGUCCUCAAUAAUGAUGUCAUUUCCGUCUAUCUGCUUGUGAUGUCAUUUCCUGUCAACCUCAUUUCCUUCCACCAUUUUGUAUAAAAACCCAAUGUAUUCAAACCUCAUCGGUCAAAUGUUCUUAGUUUUGAUCCUUUUUUGCCAUUUUUUCAAUUCUUUUGUCCUAGGACGUUAUACAGGGUCAGUCCCCAAAUCUUUGCGAGACUUUGUUAGUCUUUAUUUUAUCACCCUAUAUAUAUAUACUGUAUAUAUAUAUAUAUAUACAUACAUAUAUAUAUAUAAUCCAAUGUCUGUCUAUCUGUAUGUAUGUAUGUCAGUCUGCUUUUCAUGAGAGAACUACUCAACGGAUUUAGAUUUGCUUGAACGUUCUGGUUGAUUUUGCGACUUCUCUAAUCAUGCUAAGUAUCGUAAUUCGCUUGCGGUACCAAUUUAUUUACGCAAAUCUGAGAAAGAGACUGCAGGGCAAGAGGAGGGGUGCGGGCCCUCCUCACUCAAGCGCCAGCCUCCGUUCGAGUCGGUCUAAUUCCACUGGUCUACAAAAAAUAUUUUUUGUUUGCUUCUGGGAACUUCAGAGCAUCUUUUUAUUCAGUUUAUUAUGCUAAUUUCAUAUAUGAAAUCGGAAUUAAGCUAGCAUGUCAGGUUUUUGAAAUACACAUCAUUGACGUUUUGACACUUUUGAAUAUCAAUAUAAUAUAUCAACACGAUAUUUGGAGAUUGGACUAUGUCCCACCAAAAUUGUUUUGAUGUGUUUAUUCUGAAAACAAACCAGAAGACGAUACCAGAGACACAUUAAUGUCAAUUUACCUCAAUAUAAAAGUGAUGUCUGCAUACCCACAAAUGUUGGAGCCACUCGCUUUUGCGCUUGUACUGCACAUCCGUCUCUCUUUGCAAGAACCAACAGUAGUCACCCAUCAUGCUCUGAGUGAAUGUUUCCUGAUAUCACUUUUCCAUCACCUUUAUAUCUUGAUGAAAUCUUUCCCCAUGCUUAUCUCUGACAUUGCUUAGAUUGGGUGGAAAAAAGUCAAGAUGAGAAUGUAAAAAAUGCAUCUUCAGUGACAUUCUGGCUCCCGUAAGCUAAUAUACUUUCAGCAUAUUCUCCACAAUCUCAGUAUAAUUCUUUGCUCUGUGACUGUCAAGAAAAUUCUGGACAACCUACAUGAAUGAGGGUGCUGAUUCAGUUGGCUUCAGUUUCCUUUUGAACUCAUUGUCAAGCAUCAGUUCACGUAUUUCAGGGCCAACAAAAACACCUUCCUUAAUUUUGGCUUCAUUUUUCUCGAGACCAAACUUAUUUCUUAAAUGCUGAAACACAUCACCUUUACCGUCCGGAUACCCUAGUUGUCCAAAACCUGGAACAUCAUAACUAAAAAAUGGGAUGUGCUGGACGAAAACGGUUUUCAGAUUUGGAGUCAGCAAGUGAAAUUGGUUAAAGUACAGAUGAAAGAAUCCCAGUAGCAAAAUGCUUGUUGACCAGUGAUUCUCGCCACGUGUUGGAGUGUACCUUGCCUCCACAUAGUUAGCGAUACCUGUUUGUUCAACAGACAUUAUCAUCUACAGAUUGUUAAGGAGUAACGUUUGACGUUUUUCAGCGAGAGAUCAGAGCUACAUGUGUUUUAGAGUGUAACUGCUGAUUGCCAGAGAUAUCACGGCCACAUGCUUUUCUCUUCAUGUGGAGGAUGCUCUCCCAUCAGAGCUGAACAUGAUCAGAUACAUUGCCAACAUUUGGUGUUGGAGCGUACCUGCCUUCUGCUUGGCCAGAAUUAAAUUUUUUUUUAAUGAUUUUUAAAGUUUGUCCUGUUUCACUACUAUGUGGGUGGAGCUGUGUAAUGUAUUGGAAUACCUGCUAAUGGUAAUGAAUGAGAAAUCAAAGAGCAUUUUCAGGUCACUUUGAUAGUAAGCAUUUUAGGAAAACAACAUAAAUUGAAAAAAUGUAAGGAACAUACAAUAAAAUCUUCAGACCCUCUUAACUCAAAUACGUUUCUUGGGAAGGCUAGAGCCUGUUCCAGCAGAAUUAGACACAAAGCAGAAAAGAUCCCUGGACAGGACACCACUCCAUUGCAGGUGCAAUCAUGCACACAUCCACACUCACGCUCACACAUGGGUCAAUUUAGCCUCAGCAAAUUAAUCUAAGACAUGGGUUCCCAAAAUUUUUUAAGCCAAGGACCCCCAAAAUAUUGUACCAUCUGGUCAGGGCCCCACUAUGAUACCUUGUGUCAUUAAUAGAGUGAAACUGGAUUCAGUUGAGCAAGGUAAUGGAGCUGAUUAGCAUAUAACCCCAUGUGCCGGUUGGAUUGACAGUGUAGCGAGUUCUAAUUAGCUAAACCAUUUAAGGGCAGGCUGAGUGUAGUGUGGAGAGAGGGAGAUAGGAAGAUGUGAGUGUUUGAAAGAAGAAGUGAGAGUAUGAAGAGUGAGAUGUUAGAGAACCACAGAGAGACAGAGUGCAGGUGGAAAAGCCUUAAUGUGUUUUUGGUGGCCAGAGCUAUUGAGCGCUAAAUAAGGAGCAGUAAAGGCUAGAAGGCUUGGGGAAGGAAAGUGUCUGGGUCUGGGGGAGAUGUCAUGAGCAUUGCUGUAUGCAAAGCCGAAUUAGAGUGGGGUGAAACUAGAGUAGUCACACUGUGUGUAUGCUAAUGAUAACUCUGAUGUGUGCAAGUUGUCGGAGCGACUGUGUUUUGUGCUAGUUGCUGUUUCCCUGGAUGAACAAUGUCAUUUUUUUUUGCACUGACUAUAAAGAAGAUUUCUUUGUGGGGCAAUUCUGUUUUAACCUGUGUAUGUAAUUUUAAUGAAUAUUAUAUAUGAAUUUUUAAAGAAAUACUGUAUUUAUUAUUACACUGUUCAUUUGCAUAAAGACUGUGAAUAUAAUAAAUAUGCACUCUGAACUUUUUGUACUGUAAA